GGAAGCAGGGGAUGAUGGGAAAAGGGUGUUUGCUGAGACCACGUUGGACCCCCAGCAGAGUCAGUCCUGGGACCAGCUACGAUGUCUCUACAGAGGACCUUCCAGGUUGGCCAUCCUGUCGGAAAUCUCCCACUGCCAUGGCAACGAGAAGGCGGGCCUCCUAAACCCCUCCCAACCAGGAACAGGAAGUAUAUUCCACAGCGAGAACUUCCAGCUCAAACUCUCCCCACCGCCAUCGGUCGAAGAGUAGCUUGCCUAUAGCCAUGUUCAGUAUGAUGAC